CGUAGGGGCCGAGCGUUGUCCGGAGUUACUGGGCGUAAAGCGCGCGCAGGCGGCUCGUCAAGCCUGACGUGAAACGCCCCCGGCUCAACCGGGGAGGGUCGUCGGGGACUGGCGAGCUUGAGGUCGGCAGGGGCUGGUGGAAUUCCCGGUGUAGUGGUGAAAUGCGUAGAGAUCGGGAGGAACACCCGUGGCGAAGGCGGCCAGCUGGGCCGUACCUGACGCUGAGGCGCGAAGGCGUGGGGAGCGAACGGGAUU
rnacentral:rRNA from 1 species